rnacentral:rRNA from 1 species
UACGAAGGGGGCUAGCGCUGCUCGGAAUCACUGGGCGUAAAGGGUGCGUAGGCGGGUUUUUAAGUCAGGGGUGAAAUCCUGGAGCUCAACUCCAGAACUGCCUUUGAUACUGAAGAUCUUGAGUCCGGGAGAGGUGAGUGGAACUGCGAGUGUAGAGGUGAAAUUCGUAGAUAUUCGCAAGAACACCAGUGGCGAAGGCGGCUCACUGGCCCGGUACUGACGCUGAGGUGCGAAAGCGUGGGGAGCAAACAGG